rnacentral:rRNA from 1 species
UGCACCUACGGGAGGCAGCAGUGGGGAAUAUUGGUCAAUGGGCGCGAGCCUGAACCAGCCAAGUCGCGUGAGGGAAGACGGUCCUAUGGAUUGUAAACCUCUUUUGUCGGGGAGCAAAAGACGCCACGCGUGGCGAUCCGAGAGUACCCGAAGAAAAAGCAUCGGCUAACUCCGUGCCAGCAGCCGCGGUAAUACGGAGGAUGCGAGCGUAAUCCGGAUUUAUUGGGUUUAAAGGGAGCGCAGGCGGAAGAUCAAGUCAGCGGUAAAAUUGAAAGGCUCAACCUAUUCUAGCCGUUGAAACUGGU